rnacentral:ncRNA from 1 species
ACGGAGCUCGACAAGGCCAAGGCCACACCGGAAGAGAAGGUGUGAUCUCCCGAGUCGAAACUCCUAGCACGGAUCACCGGAACCCACGCGGAGCUCAAGCCGCGAUACAGGCAGAAGCGUUGUGGGCCUGCGGAAUCACGAAAAGCGAAUGACGUGACAACCCCUUGGGUGGGGUUGCGCCCAUAGCGCAACGUGAGAACGCCGAGGCCACCCACACAACCCACCUCAGCACGCUUGGUAACCGGAAUCCGUGCUAGCGGGCGACGAGCCGUGACCGACGCAAGUGGGUCACGGAGCGUCGCCCGCUUCAUUUG